UACGUAGGGGGCAAGCGUUAUCCGGAAUCACUGGGCGUAAAGGGUGCGUAGGUGGCUUAUCAAGCCAGAGGUGAAAGGCAUUGGCUCAACCAAUGUAAGCCUUUGGAACUGAUAGGCUUGAGUGCAGGAGAGGUAAGUGGAAUUCCUAGUGUAGAGGUGAAAUUCGUAGAUAUUAGGAGGAACACCAGUGGCGAAGGCGACUUACUGGACUGUAACUGACACUGAGGCACGAAAGCGUGGGUAGCGAACAGG
rnacentral:rRNA from 1 species